AAGAGUUCAAAAGCUUCUUCAAAGUCAGGUGAGGGUAUUUCAUACCCAGGCUCAGAUGACACCGUGUGCAAUGUGGCUGAAGAAGAGGCAUUCCUGACCUGUACCAAGGAUUUUCAGGGUUUGACUUUAGCCUCAGACCUUCUCAGCUUCACAGAAAAAUGAUGUUGAAACAGCAGUUCGGAUCCUGCAGAUCAGGCAGGAGCCUUGAAACCAUCCAUGGGCUUUCUUGUUUUCUUUUUUGCCUCGUUGAUUUGCCCAGUUCCUAAAUGACAUCCCCUUCUUCUGGCUAAGAAGUCAUCAUUGACAUCAGUGCCCUCCACAGCCCCAGCCACAUCUCAUUUCACAUCAGCACUGAGCAGCUGGUGUCAGGCCAAGUUUUGCUUCACUGACUGCCAGGGAAGUUUCCUGCUGGUCUGUGUGUAGAGAGAGAGAGUCCUUUGCCACUGAUAGAUGAUCUGCUUAAGGCUACCAGCAGCGUGCUUGCAUUUUCCUCUAUGGUUCGGAAAUCCCAGCUGUACAUCCUCUCUUCCUACUCCCAUGGGCAGGGAUUUCACUGAGGAAAACAUGACAUAUGAUCAUCUCUGUAGUUCCAAUAAGAAGUUGGUUGUGUAAAGGAAAGCUGCUGCCUGGCUCUAGCUAUGAAGCUUCAGUGCAAGACUUCUGAAUAAAAGUAUCUGAGUUCUGUAUGACCUUUUUUAUACCAGAAUCCCACUGGCUGGCAGAACAUGCAUCAUAAGGACUUUUUUGUUAAAAGGUCACAGAAGAUUGGAAAGGGCUGCUUGAUACACUUGAGGGCAGAAUUACCAUCCACAGGGACCUCAAGAAACUGACAGGAAUCUUAUGAUGCACAGCUCUGCACCUGUGAAGAAAAACCUGCCAUAAAUCAUAGUCUGGGGACUGACUGCCUGGGGAGCAUCUCUGCACGAAAGGACCUGGGGAUCUUGCAGAACAUCAGGCUGAGGAUGAGCCAGCAGUGUGCGCUGCCUGCAGAGAAGGCCCAAAAUACCUUGGGUUGUAUUAACAAGAGCACAAGCACACAAACGUGGAUUGUUGGAUCAAUCUAGAUCACUCCAGAGCCUUAGUGUGGAUGUUACAUUCUGCAUGCCUCAUCUGGCACUUCUCAUACACUCUGCCCAAGAAUAAAUGAGUCUUAAAUGUGUCACUGUUUCUUUACUCCAGUGCUGAUGGAAAGUGAAAGCAUUCCUCUGACUGACAGAAUAAAGGUCAGAAGCUGUGUGAAAAUAUGGCAGACCCUAAAUGUGGGACUCAGAUAAAACUGUGCCAGAAGUACUAAAUGCACUCUGUUCACAUCUAUUUUACAGCAUGAGUUGAACUUGCAGAUUGCAGUUCCCUCAUUACUUCAGGACUUUUUUUAAAGGUCUUUAAAAAACAGAGUAAAAAAGCUAGGGGUGUUAUUGGAGAAUUUGCUGUGCAAAACCCUCUGUUGUAUGAGAGGUCAAGCCAAAUGAAAGCAAAGGUUCUUCUUGGAUCCAAAAAUCAAUAACUCUUUGGAAUUACUGCAAAGACUUGGUGUACUACUGCCAACCCUUCAAAAGAAAAAAAUCUAUUUUCUGUGCCCUUAUACUCACCCUGUCCACUUUGAAAUUAUACUGCUCAUUGACAGA